ACAUGUAAGUCGAGCGGGCACUUUCGGGUGCUAGCGGCGGACGGGUGAGUAACGCGUGGGAACAUACCCUUUGGUACGGAAUAGCCUUGGGAAACUGAGAGUAAUACCGUAUGUGGUCGUAAGACGAAAGAUUUAUCGCCAAAGGAUUGGCCCGCGUUGGAUUAGGUAGUUGGUGGGGUAAUGGCCUACCAAGCCGACGAUCCAUAGCUGGUUUGAGAGGAUGAUCAGCCACACUGGGACUGAGACACGGCCCAAACUCCUACGGGAGGCAGCAGUGGGGAAUCUUAGACAAUGGGCGCAAGCCUGAUCUAGCCAUGCCGCGUGAUCGAUGAAGGCCUUAGGGUUGUAAAGAUCUUUCAGUGGGGAAGAUAAUGACGGUACCCACAGAAGAAGCCCCGGCUAACUCCGUGCCAGCAGCCGCGGUAAUACGGAGGGGGCUAGCGUUAUUCGGAAUUACUGGGCGUAAAGCGCACGUAGGCGGACUGACAAGUCAGAGGUGAAAUCCCAGGGCUCAACCUUGGAACUGCCUUUGAAACUGUUAGUCUUGAGGUCGUGAGAGGUGAGUGGAAUUCCGAGUGUAGAGGUGAAAUUCGUAGAUAUUCGGAGGAACACCAGUGGCGAAGGCGGCUCACUGGCACGAUACUGACGCUGAGGUGCGAA
rnacentral:rRNA from 1 species